AGAGAGAGACAUGCGCGCAUAUCAAUAAGCGGAGGAAAAGAAACUAACAAGGAUUCCCUUAGUAACGGCGAGUGAAGCGGGAAGAGCUCAAAUCUGAAAUCUUCAAGGGUUCUACCUUUACGAAUUGUAGUUUAAAGAAGUGUUUUCUGUUGAGGUUUUGGUAAAAGUUCUUUGGAAUAGGACAUCAUAGAGGGUGAGAAUCCCGUAUUUGACCUUUACUUUCAACUUUGUGAUACACUUUCAAAGAGUCGGAUUGUUUGGGAAUGCAGUCCAAAAUGGGUGGUAAAUUUCAUCUAAAGCUAAAUAUUGGCGAGAGACCGAUAGCGAACAAGUACCGUGAGGGAAAGAUGAAAAGAACUUUGAAAAGAGAGUUAAACAGUACGUGAAAUUGUCAAAAGGGAAGCGUUUGACACCAGUGUUGUUUUUCUGAAAAUCAAUUAAAGAACUGUUUAUGCUAAGUUGUUUAGACUUUAUCAGCUAACUGUUUAGUUUUGAGCUUUUCUUUAAUGCACUUUUCAGUUAACAAGUCAACAUCAAUUUCUUUUGCUGUAAAAAAGCUUGAGGAAGGUGGCUUGAGAUUCGUCUUAAGUGUUUAUAGCCUCUUGCCUAUGCAGUCGGAGAGAUUGAGGUCUGCAGCGUAGAUCCUUCGGGGCUGAAUGCAUUUGUGCUAAGUUAUAGCAUUUUAUAGACAACUUGUUGACUAUGAUUUGUCUUGUAGCUUACUCGCUUAUGUUAUUUUACCUACGCUUAGGAUGUUGAGCGCAUGUCUCUCUCU
rnacentral:rRNA from 1 species